rnacentral:lncRNA from 1 species
AGCAUUCCAUACUCUUCAACAAUAGUAUUUUUGUUUCAUGAUCCGCUCAGUUGACAAAAGCAUGAUAGGAUAGAAUCGGUGUCUAGAUGUCGGCAUCGGUGUAACCUCAUCCAUCAAGCAAACCAAACGCAUUUGAGAGUCUGUAUCUCUAGAAAAUUUUCAAGCAUUGGAAAUGGACAAUGAGUGAGCCAAACUCUUGGGCUCCACCUCAGCACCACGAUCUAACUUAUGAUUUUGUGGGUUCAGGGUUUAGGGUUGCUCAAUGGCAAAUCUAUUGUGUGAUAAUGAGCUGUGGCAUCGUCUUGUUAAAUCAACCGUCACUCUGUAGACGUGGAAGAUGUUGCUCAUCGCAAUUAGGCAGAGGCUCUUGAACAAUGGAACAAUAGUUUAGGAUCC